UUGAUCUGUCUGGUCACAUAUUUCUGGUUGUAGCUAGACCCCCAGUCCUCCCCAUAGUGCCUUCCCUGACUCAGGCCAAUUCUGUCUACAUAGUUACAGACUUUUGUGCAGUGUUUUGUCAUUUAAGGUGGAGGCAGAGUCUGGAGGCUUGGUACAGACCUGGAAGCCAGGCAGCUAAUUCAGGAUCCUUGUGCAGUUAAUGCUUUCUAAAGGGAAUGAGGUACUGAUGCUUUACCGAUAGGAAGAUAGUGGUCACAGUAAAGACCACAGAAGGAAGCUAAAAAUCAGAACAAGCACCUACAAGUAACUAUUCCAGUGUACCUGCAAAACCAGUGAUCAGCGUGGACUGAGUAGAUGUGAGCCCAGCAGUCACAUCUGUAUAUUGUAUAUGUUGGUCACAGCAGGCUGCUGCCCAUUACCUACCAGUGUGGCUCUUUUGGCCUAUGUGACCCAGUACCCUAAUGGAUGCCCUUCCCAACUCUGUAGCCCAGUCUCAGGUUUUCUUGUUCUCUCCAUUCUUUUUUUUUUUUUUUUUUUUUUUAAGAUUUAUUUAUUUAUUAUAUAUAAGUACACUGUAGCUGUUCAGACAAACCAGAAGAGGGCAUCAGAUCUCAUUACAGAUGGUUGUGAGUCACCAUGUGGUUGCUGGGAUUUGAACUCAGGACCUUUGGAAGAGCAGUCAGUGCUCUUAACCGCUGAGCCAUCUCUCCAACCCUCUCUCCAUUCUGGAAAGUGUUAACAGCAAGCUCACAGUUGCCAAGUGCCAUACGUAAUUAGUUAUUUCACAAAAAUAAGUCACUGAGAGGUUGUUUUCAGCACUUCCAUUUAUUUUCUUUUUUUCUUUUUUCUUUU
rnacentral:lncRNA from 1 species